ensembl:lncRNA
CUCGGUUUCUAUUUUCUAAACAUGGCAACUCUGAUCGCCCCCAGUCAAACCCGCGAAAUAAGGGGUUUCCAAAACUCCUCCUUAAGUUUGAUGAAUUGAGGGAAUAAAUGGAAUCAUCAUGGACACCGGCAGCUUUCCGUAGAUGCGCCCGGCACCCUGUUUAUCCCCAUCCAAAGGAAGGGGGGUCGGCUCGCCGCAUGAAAUGCUCAGUUCCAUGCGAUCCCAGCCUGAUUUAUAAAUUGGAUCACGAGGACGAUGUCGCUUCAAGCUGCAUCCCCGACAGCCACGUCUGCUUUUUUUUUUUUUUGAAGCGAUUUACAACCAGCAGUGACGGCCUGAACCGAUGAAAUGGCUGAUGGCAGGUUGUUGUCGGGGCGGUCAGGGCUGCCUGCGUCUCCACAGCGGGGAAAAAAGCAGAGACAAGAAGACUUGACAUGCAGUACCAUAGGAAGUCUGUAUGGAUGGAAAUCUCAGAGGUUCAGUGUGGCUCGCUCUCCUCCUUCACGUCUCCAGAUGUGGUGUAAAAGGAAGCUGGCCGGGGACGCUGACAUUUUUGGCGUACACACGUACACAUUAAUGCUAUGUAAUACCCCCCCCCCCUCCCACCCUGCCAUGAUGAGAGAUUUUAAGCUGGCUGAUUCAUGAGCAGUGGCCCUCUGAAUGGACACGGAGCUACCGGUGACAGAGGGAACCACUGCACAGCUUGUGGUUGUUGUUUUCUUUUUUUUUGACAUUUUUAUGUAAAUAUAUUUUUUUCUAUUUUAUUUUUUAAUAAACAUUUUAAAACUGCCCCUCUGGAUUUUGGUUUGUUGAUGCAUCACAUGGGGAUUUGAUGGUUCAUUAACAUAAACAUUUGACCACACUGAAGUAAUCAAAAAAAGUUUUUAUGGCAAAUAUUAAAGUCAACUUCUACAUACUAGAGAAGUGGUGCAAUUUAAAUAACGGAAAAACUAAAGUUAAUAAUCAGGGAUGUAAAGUAGCAAAAGUACAAAAUAAUGCUGUUCACAAUACAAAGUUAAAAUAAUGAACCAACAUGUGGAUCUGAUUGGAGCAGAAAACAAGAUGUAAAAAAGGGGGUGAAGAAAAUCAAAGAAAAGAUGAGAAAAAGAACUUAUAACAAGUUCAAUUGAUAAGCCUCACAGUUAUUAAUAUAAAUAU